CUGAGUCCUGGAUGUGCCCUGCUGUCCUCAGCCUCCAGCCUCUGGUCAGGCUCCUCCCUCUGCCCUCAGCCCUUCCAGGGAAGCAGAUCCACAGGGACAGGCUGAUGCCUCCCAACUACCCAGCAUCCUGGGGACUGUUGUGGUCCUGCUGCUGAUCCUGGGAGCUGGACUGUUCCUCUGGAGGACACGAGUGAAGAAGAGCCUGGAGCCUGGGAGAGGCAGGUUGCACUUCUCCUCCCCGGGCCCACACACCUCCCUCCCCUGGACCCUGGACUCCCUUCCUCCUGCC
rnacentral:lncRNA from 1 species